rnacentral:misc_RNA from 1 species
AUUUAGUACACUUCUCAUGAAAUUCUUGUGUUUGCUAUUCUAAAUUGAACUUUUGAACUUUCAAAUGAAUAUGUUAAUUUCAAACGAGGGAGAAACAGAGAAUGUGCCAAACAAUGAGCUUAUUUAACUGGUACGAGAUUCAUCAUUCAUGUCCAUAAAGGCAAUAGCUGGUUAACUAUUUGCAAUAUUAUUGGCCCAUUUCCUAUUUAAAUAACAUUAUUUUAUGCAUCUCUG